rnacentral:rRNA from 1 species
AUACGUAGGUGGCAAGCGUUAUCCGGAAUUAUUGGGCGUAAAGAGUGAGCAGGCGGUUAAUUAAGUCUGAGGUUAAAGCGUGGGGCUCAACCCCAUAAAGCCUUGGAAACUGCUUGACUAGAGUACGGGAGAAGUGAAGGGAACUCCCUGGGGAGCGGUGAAAUGCGUAGAUAUAUGGAAGAACACCAGUGGCGAAGGCGCUUCACUAGCCCGAAACUGACGCUCAGUCACGAAAGCGUGGGUAGCAAAUAGGAUUAGAUACCCUAGUAGUCCACGCUGUAAACGAUGACAACUAAAUAUUGCCGCGAGGCAGUGUUGAAGCUAACGCAUUAAGUUGUCCGCCUGGGGAGUACGGUCGCAAGACUGAAACUUAAAGGAAUUGACGGGG